rnacentral:piRNA from 1 species
UGCACGGUUUUGUGCUUACUAAGUGUCUUA